rnacentral:lncRNA from 1 species
UUGCCAUUUCAAAGGGGGAAAAAUUGAAAAGCAGAAUUAAGUUCAUAAAUACUUGGUUUCCUUAUUUUGAUGCAACACAAAGGCAGAAUAUCCAGGACCCUGUGGACCCCUAUUGUCAGCUUCAGCAUUCGCCAACCACAGUAAUUCAACCCCAAAAUCUCCGCUCUACACCACGCAGGCUAUAAAAAGUAAGUACCUUUUCCCUCAUGCCACCGCCACCAUAUUGUUUGCAGACGCUCAACACUGUGUAUUUCUCUGUAUCAGGAGAAGCCCAGGAAUGCGGUGCGAGUCUUUUUUCUUCUUUUUAACCGGAUAAAGUAAUAGAUUCCAUUGUAACUCUUCAGUACACUUGCGGAGGCACUCAUUAAUGCUAAUGGAAUCCGCAUGUAGGUAUUGAAGGGAAAAUGCAGUUGCCUGCAUCUGUGUAGUCUUUAUUUUCGUAUCAGACCAAGCACAACACUGUACGCUCGCGAGUUCAAUGGCACCUCCAUCUUCUAAUUCUGAAAUUUAAGUAACUCGGAUUAAAAAUGAUCCCAGUCAUUAUGAAAUUGGGUGUUCCCACUAGCAAAUGGGAUGGACGCUUCUGCUUCUUAAAUACCCACAAAUCUAUCUCCCGUCUGGAGCCGGCAGCUNUAAUAGAUUCCAUUGUAACUCUUCAGUACACUUGCGGAGGCACUCAUUAAUGCUAAUGGAAUCCGCAUGUAGGUAUUGAAGGGAAAAUGCAGUUGCCUGCAUCUGUGUAGUCUUUAUUUUCGUAUCAGACCAAGCACAACACUGUACGCUCGCGAGUUCAAUGGCACCUCCAUCUUCUAAUUCUGAAAUUUAAGUAACUCGGAUUAAAAAUGAUCCCAGUCAUUAUGAAAUUGGGUGUUCCCACUAGCAAAUGGGAUGGACGCUUCUGCUUAGAUUACUAUGAUUCCAAGAGGCCAGUACCAGAUGAUGAGUCUUUAGUAAAAUAAACAGCCAAUGUUGUAAUAAUAAAACAGGCUAAAAAAAACACAGAAACUCCCUACUGAAUCAGGACAGACUAUAUCCUCAUUAUUAAAAAAUUCCAUAUUAAAUUACCCAUAUGCAUCUCCAGAGGAGUGAAAACACAAGAUGAGGAGAAGAGAAUUGAAAAGAAUCAUUGUUUAGUUGAGAUUCCAGACCUGCCGGCAGUGAAUAUUGGUACUAGGCAUUAAUAAACUAUGUGGAGGUGUCUGGGGCCCAUGGAAAUCCAGACCAUGCACUUCAUUAGGUCCUGAACUUCACCUGGAAUCUUCUGCCGCAGGUGAUGAUUUCCAAGCUGUUUUGUUCUUGAUUAUUUUCAGUCCAAGUAAAAUGGACAAUAAAGAGAAGAUGCUUCUAUAGAUUUCCAUGAUGGAUGUUCACGACCAAAAUAACUUUCACCAUCUGAUGUAUUUCACAGUCUUAAGUUAAAACAGACCCGGUAUAAUAUGCUUGUACAUCUGGCUCAGGUGGUUUCUUUGCCAUAUGUUUGUGAAAUAAUCCAAGGAGAUGUUACAAUUGUACCGUUCCCCUUGGGACCUGAACAAAAUGUGCCCACAAAGAGUUACCUAAUUAUUCAUUCCUGCCAACAACAUCCUCGCCUAAUAAUAAGGGGGUGCUUAAAAAUGAGACAAUAGUGCUUUCAAUCUUGAGAGAUGUCAGUGCCACUUAUUGUUUCGAAAACCGAAAGUCUUUUGCAUUUUUUUAAAUAAGAAAAAGAUCCUUGGCCUUUAAAGCAGCACUCUGCAGGUGGUAUAUUUGGUAUUCCUGUGGGGGCAAAUGUUGCCAUACUGAUCAAGGCCAAUGCUCCCCUGGAGCUCAGGGAACUCAGCGGACCAGUAGCCACUGUGGGACUUAGUGACCCCAAAGGUGAUAGUAUCUACAGGGUGGCUGUUCCGGUAAUAGAACACAUUAACGGAGAACUUUAUAAUUGGCAAAUUGCUUUCAUCUAUGUCACCACAUUGACUUCUCAAAACAACCUUGUAAAGCAGGGGGAAAAGGCCCACCUUAUUUAGCCUUGCCAACGGUGCUGAUUCUUUAUAGCGCUAAUUAGCCAGAAAUGUGAGCAUCUUUUUUAAAUGAAAAAAUUAAAAAAUUUUUUAGUCUUGAUCCCUAAGCCCCAGUUGCCACAAUGCAGCUCUCGCUUUGAAUCUGACAAUCUGCUUUUUCCCCUGUUCCCGAACUUGCCUCCUUUUGUCCCAUGACUGACUCUCUCAAUGCUCUGUUGAUUCAAAAUACAUAAUUUGAUUUUGUUUCAAGGGUUAGAAAGGACACAAAACACAGUGGGGAAAGUAACUUAAUGAUUAAAAUACAGGCCUACCACGAAAAUACAGAUUUGAAUGAGGCUCCAGGCCAGGUCAAAGGUCAAAUGGAUAAAUCAUGCUCUUGGCCUAGCUUUCUCCACCACUAAAUCAAUUUGAAAGAAUGUGGCAAAGAUGAAGAUACCAGCCAAUAAAUCUCUAGGCAUGCGUUAAUUGUGUAUUUAUGGAGAUGCCAAAUGCUAGGAGAGUUGUGUUUCCAUAAGGAUUAGGCUGACAGACCCUAAAGGGCCAGAUUAGUUUUGACAUUGUUUUUCCCCAGAAUCCAAAUCUCAGGGUCAAACAGGACACAAAGAAUGAGAAAAGGAGGCUAGGAGAUUUGCCUCGGGUUACCCAGUUCAUAAAUGGGUCUGUCCAUUUGUGUCCAAGAUGCUCAUUUAAAACACCUGGGAACUACCAAGGAACUACCUUCUUUCUACUUUGCUAGUUAACCUUAACAGUUUUGGAUCACUCAAUAGCCAAUAUUUUCUGGAGAUAUAUAUGCCCCACGAGAGGAAAAGUGAGUUAUUAUGAAGAAGUAAUUGAAUACUGGUCUCUUGUUCGGGUAAGAGAUUCCCCAGGCAAGAUUUUUUUCCCACUCAUGGCAAUUACAGACUUUCUGAAAAUUCCUUCACUCUCUUAAUGCUUACUGAGGGCCUACUAGUAUAUUACAUGCUGUGGAUACAAAGUUGAGAAAGCAAGGUCCUACUCUCAGGGCAUUUAAACAAGCAGAGACUCAGACUUGCAAACAAGACAAUCUGAUAAGAUUUACAAAAUCGGAUGAUCCACAAAGUUGACUGGGACAUUAGGAUAACACAUUUCAAUCUGUCCUGGAAAACUUCUCAGAGGAAAGAGAAGUAUGAAUAGGUGUUUUCCAGGCAGACAAAAGAUUUCCAACUAUAUGGUAUGAGUCAGAGAUGCUAAUGAUCGAUUGUAAAUUGAGGCAGAAACGUAAUCAAGUUUUUGUAUUUGAACUCUGGGGCUACUAUGAAGGCGUGGGCGGGGGGGGGGGGGGGAAGGGUUGGUGGAAAUGGAAGUUCCUGGAGAGAAAUGUCAAGGAUUAUAUUGCAGUGGUUAAGGGAGUCAGUGGACCUGAUCAAGUAACAUGGUAGCCCCCUUAGACAUGACAGAUAAGCGAGAGUAGAAUACAUAGGGAUACGUUGCCUGGAAUGUGAGAAAGGGGUCCAAGGAUCCCAGAAUGGUGGCUUGGGAAACUGAGGGAAGGGUCUAACAUUCACUCAUAUGAAGAAUCUAGGAGGGAGAGAGGCUUUUGUGUAGUAAAUAGGUAUGGGCCCCAAAGCAGAGAUGUUCUAUUCUGAACAUCCUGAGUUUGCAGUGCCUGUGGGAUACCCAGGUGGAACUUAUUUAGAAAACAGUUGGAGACGUGGGCUCAGGAUAGAGAUUUAGAUGUAAAACCUUGGGACCCAAGAUUUUCCCCAAAAGUGAAUGGGAAAGAAAACCCUGGCGUUUAAGGAGAGGGGAGAGAAAUAGAACCCAGUCAAGGCACCAGAAAGGAGUAACCAGUGCAGAGGUAAACGAGGAGAGAGAGAGAUGGGGGCGGGNGGGGGGGGAGGGGGGGGAUAUUGUGAAAGGCAAACCAGAAUUGCAAGCCUGGGAGAAUAGUCAGCAGGCAGGACAAGUCAUAUAAGAUGAGAAUUUUAAAUGCGUCAGGAAGUGAGCAGGGCAACUUCAGUGCACUGACGUGCCUAGAGCCAGGUUAGAAUGGUUCCAGCAGUGAAUGUGUAAUGUGGAGUCAGAGUGAGGAAAUCCAGCUUGCGCUUUGUGAAAGAAGGGCUGUCAAAAAGAGAAACUUAGGGGUGCUAAAAAAAUUAGCUACUUAAAUAGGUUUUGUUUGUUUUUUAAAGGAGAGGGAUGAACAUAUUUGUACACUGAGGGGAACAGCCAAUGGAGCAUCGGAGGUAAGAAAAGGACCUUGCUGACAAAGCACGUUUUCUAAGGAGGCAAGGUGGAAUAACACCCCAUGGCACCAGUGGACAGAGUUGCCUUUGACAGGAAAACUGUCUUUGGCUGGCAAUGGGGACAGGGAAAGGAUGGGUGCAGAGGUGGAUGGGCUUGUGGCUGAAUGGGUGGGAAAAUGAAGGACGCCAUUUUUGAUGGCGGCCAGUCCCUGACUUCGAAACAAGGUCAUCCCAAAGAGAAGAUUGAAAGCUUUGAAGAGUGGUAAAGGUUUGGAAUAGCAGCUGAGGGAAAUGGGAGAAGCACAUGUAAUAGGACUGCUGAGUAACACUGAAGGCAAAACUGAGAUUAGUUUCACUCCAGAUUGAUGGUCUCCAUUCUCUAUGGUUGUGAUUUUUCUUUUUCCUCCAGCAGAGGAAAUGUUUACAGCUCAAGGAAUGUUUACAGCUAAGGAGGCUCCAUGGAGGAUUGCUUGAAGGACAUGAAGUCCAUCUGUCUCCCUAGAUAGUUUAGAUUAUAUCUCAAGGUCAAGGUAAGCCAUCCAAACUAAAUACUUGAACCAUAUUGUUUUAGCUCCUUUUACUUUUACUCACAUUUAGUGAAUUGCACGCUGGCAUUGGGCCCCGGCUUGCAUUGUGGGACCAACAAGAAACAAUCAUCGGCCUGUCAGCCUUCGUUGUUAGCAUCAUGGAGGACGUUGAGAAAGCCACUAGCCUUCCAACCAGCAUGCCCACUCGUGAGGGCACAAAGAGCCAUUUCCCUUACGCCCAAUGCCAGAAAACAAUAGGUUUUUCAUUGGCAACAACAAUAUGUGUAUCUGGGGGUACAGCGAGGGAUGGUCAAGAGCAGAGUCUUGAAACCACAAAGCUUGGGUUCAAAUCCAGCAUCCUUCAUCUAGCAGCUCGUUGACCUUGACCCUCUUAAUUUCUCUGGGCCUCAGUUUCCUUGUUUGUAAAAUAACAAAAAUAAUCCUACCUCCUUCAUAAGGCUGCAGUAAAAAUUAAAAGACACAAUCAGUGUAGACGUGUUUAGCACCGUUGUCUGGCAAAUCAUAAGUCCACCACACAUGUUUGCCAUUAUUGUUGUUGUUACAAUUAUUAUUUUACAGCCGCUCUUCUUUGGUUUUGUGUUUAUGUUUUGCUUUCAUCCUCACAGUGGCAUGAAUUUGCAUGUAUUAAUUCACCUCUGGUUUCCAGUUAAUAUUCUUUCUUUCUUUUGUUCUUCACCUAUAGCCCACUUAUUUGUUGUCUGCUAUCCACCUGGCAUCAUUUUGCAAUGAGGCAGAACACAAAAAAGUAAACUGAAAGAGGCCUUAAGCCAAUCAAUAGUUAUGAGGAUAAGUCUGUCUAUUUUUGCUCUUGAUUUGAGAAGAGUUUCAAAGAUGGUAAAGAGGGCUUGGAACUUUCCUAUCCCACAUCUGUGUCUCGAAAUGCACGUUUCCUUGAAGUCUGUUUUACCUGAUAUUUACUUUUCUUACGAUCAUUCUUGAUUGGCCCCUGCAGGGACUUAGACCUAACUCAAUAUUUGCUCAGACACUUCUCUUUGUGAAUAAACAGCAUGCUAAUUUGAUUGGGGAGAGGGUUGGAUUAUUGUAGUUUGAGAAAAAGCUAUAGUUUCAUGGUGGGAUCAGGGCCAGACUUGCUAGUCGGAGGGCCUGCCUUUGGCUGUGGCUCUGGCACUCGCAGCUCUCUGUCGUCGAACCUCCCUUGCUUCAGUUCUGUGGCGGAGUAGGGUUAACAAUAGUGAUCUCACAGUGUGGUUGCAAGAAAGAAAGAAGGCGCUCAGCAGAAAUGAGUUGAAUUCUGCAUGUAGCGCAAGAGACAGCGUUCCAAUUGCCAUUCAAACUUGCACUUGAAAAAUUGGACCAAGUAAUUCAAACUUCCUUUAAACAUAUUUAUUUAGUUAGUUAUUUUUAUUUAAUGUUUAUUUAUUUUUGAGGGAGAGAGAGUGCGAGCAGGGAAGGGACAGAGAGAGAGAGGGAGACAACAGAAUCUAAAGCAGGCUCCAGGCUUUGAGCUGUCAGCACAAAGCCCUAUGUGGGGCUCGAACUCAUGGACUAUGAGAUCAUGACCUGAACCGAAGUUGGACGCUGAAACUACUGAGCUACCCAGGCACUCCUUCUUUUCAACAUAUUUUUUUUUAAUUUUUUUUAAACGUUUAUUUAUUUUUGGGACAGAGAGAGACAGAGCAUGAACGGGGGAGGAGCAGAGAGAGAGGGAGACACAGAAUCGGAAACAGGCUCCAGGCUCUGAGCCAUCAGCCCAGAGCCCGCCGCAGGGCUCGAACUCACGGACCGCGAGAUCGUGACCUGGCUGAAGUCGGACGCUUAACCGACUGCGCCACCCAGGCGCCCCCUUUUCAACAUAUUUAAAGGCAACCCAAACAUACUUAUCUUACUCAACUUAAUUAUUUGAACUUUGAAAUUUACAUACUAGCCAUUUAAGAAUAUUUAGUCAAGAGGUGCCUGGGUGGCUCAGUCAGUUAAGCAUUCGAUUCUUAGUUUCAACUCAGGUCAUGAUCUCACGGUUUUGUCAGUUUGAGUCCCCUGUCAGGCUCCACAUGGAGCUUGUUUGGGACUCUCUCUCCCUCCCUCUCUCUGGGCCCCUCCCUGAUUCGUGCUGUCUGUCUCUCUCAAAAUAAAUACAUAAACUUUAAAAAAGGAAAAAAAAAAGAGUAUUUAGGGGAGCCUGGGUGGCUCAGUCCAUUAAACGUCCGACUUUGGCUCAGGUCACCAUCUCGCGGUUUGUGGGUUCGAGCCCUGCGUCCGCCUCUGUGGUGACAGCUCGGAGCCUGGAGUCUGUUUGUGAUUCUGAGUCUCCCUCUCUCUCUGCCCCUCCCCCACUCAUGAUCUGUCUCUCAAAAAUAAACAAACGUUAAAAAAAAUUUUUUUUUAAAGAGUAUUUAGUCAAAAGUCAAAACAAAAAGCUUUAAUUCCCUUUUAAGAAUAGUCAAGGACUUUCAUCUUUGUGUCAGAAUAUCACUGUGACCUGUAAUGUCAUCAGAGAAACAUGAAAACUCUCCCAGAUUGUAUUCUUUGCCUCCUCCUAAAUAAAUAAUCUGAAAAACCCCUUGAUACACAAAUCACAUCUGCUUUAUCUCCUGGCAGGUAACAGCUCUUGGUUUUUGUCUUGUUUCUCUCGCUGUUACUGUUGGUGUUUUCUUGCUGUAUGGACCAAUAAGUCCAUGCGGAUGAAAGGCAGCUUUGGUUUUGUUUCAAAUCAAAGCGUGUGGGUGUGGGACGGUUUAUCCCACAUGUUGAUAUCAGAAGGAGAGCGGAAAGGGUUGGGAGCGAUGCCUGAAGGAAAUCAGACGUCUUCCUUCUCCGUCCGCACCCCCCCACCCCCUGGCUGAACUUGGAGACCCGGAGGGCAGGGCGUGUUGCUGAUGGGCCACUCCCACCCACCGCCGAACACCCCGAGAAAUCAGUGUCGGGCAGCACAAAAAGAGCCCGACUACAAUGGUUGGUCUUCAAAGGGGCUCAUUUAUUAUAUCGCUCAGUGCCCCACAGAGUUGCUCGAAGCUCGUAACUGCCACUGAUUUCAAAGAGAGCUCUGAACUUGCAUACGCUUCACAAGGCACGGCGCGGGAUGAGAAAUAGUCUGAGUGGCUUGAAGCCAUGUUCAGACAUUUUUUAAUGUUCGUAAAUGUCUUUGGCACCAUCAGUUUCACAUAGAAACCCACUUACCUCCUGCCGCAAAGUGUGAAAUAAAGCCAUUUUCAAGCCUGGGUAGGGGAUGGUCUGGAAAUUGGGCUAAAUCUUAAAACUGCAUGAAGACUGAAAAUAGGAUUCACAAGCUGGGGCUCAGCUCUCACUAAAUCACUUCUAAAGUCAGGUCACCGCGACCCCCUGCUCUGCCAGAUAAUGUCAGCGCCGUCUUUAAAGGGUUAAGACGGUAAAAUGUGGUCACCUUAGUGGCUCCCAAACUGAGGGCCCCCAGCUCCAAGGCAUCCCCAAAUAAGUGGUCCAUUGGAAGGAAACACUAUUUCAACUGGGGUUUGAUGGGGACUCUAACUGGGACAGCCCUGGGGAGCCUCGGGUUAGAGAUUAACAUUUCCUACCACCCCCCUGUCUCAAGAGAUGCUGUGGGUCCCCGCUUGAUCUAGGAGGUUUGUGGGAGUCAGAGUAAGAUCCGUCAAAGGCAUUCUUAUUUACCACUUGCAGAAAGAUCAGACAUACGCCCCGAUUCUGUUUCUGUGGCUCUCCAGUCCCCACCACAAGGAGAGAGAGAGAGUUUCCUUGGGGACUCAGAAGUGACUUCUAUACUCCGGGAGGCUCUUGGGUAAGUAACUGCAGAGCCCUCUGAAUGGCUUUAUGAGUGCCUUGCUUUUAGAAGGAUGCAGGAAAAAAGUGUCCAAUCCAUAGUCACUGUUCAAUAAACAUUUACUAAAUCUUGGGCAAUGUGUUGUAUUAGCCACCGUCCUUAGUAAGAAACAACAAGUUAUUUAUUGGGAGAAAAAGGAAUUAAAUAACGAGACAUUCGUUGUGGUUUUCAGAAAUCCAGAAACUCCCUCCACAAAUUUGAAGCCAUACAGCCUCUUCAAGAAAGUAUUUUGCUAAGCAUUUAUCUACUACAAAUCCUCACUAUUUCUUUAUUCCCUUAACCAACGCUUGCUGAGCUCCCGAUACAAGCUCAUGUUAAUUCCACUUGCUGGGGUUCAACAGCCAACAAAGCAGCCCAAAGUCCCCACCCUCAGUGAGCUUGUGUCUUAGUGGUGAAGACACAUGAUAACAAAGUAAGUACGAAAGCUCUCGAGAAUCUGAGAUGGUGGGAGAGAAGCAGGAGAGAGCAGGCGGAGAGGAGGUACAAUCUGAGAGGAGAUGGAAUUGUGAGGUCCUUUGAGUAAAGAACUUUUAGGGAGCCUUCUUUUUAAGUGCUUGCCUUUUUUAUCUUUCUGUUCGUUCAAAUGUUGGUAGAAAGGAACUCAGAAUUACCUGUGACAUCUUUUUAAAACUUAAGAAGUGGGGUGCCUGGGUGGCUCCGUCAGUUAAGCGUCUGGCUUUGGCUCAAGUCAUGAUCUCACGGUUUGUGAGUUCGAGCCCCACGUCGGGCUCUGUGCUGACAGCUGGGAGCCCGGAGCCUGCUUCGGAUUCUGUGUCUCCUUCUCUCUCUGCCCCUCCCCUGCUCAUGCUCUGAAAAAUCUCUCUCUCUCUCAAAAAUAGAUAAACGUUAAAAAAACUUCUUUAAGAAAAGAAGUGAAGACAUCUUGCCCAAAGGAUGAGAAGGCAAAUCAGCCCUGCUCCCAGGUCCUGGCCACGGUUUGGCUGUGCUGUGAUGCAACCACGAAGCACGUCCCACGGAAACAGGCCUACCGCCUGGUCUCGAGCUCUGCGCACAGUGAGAGCUCAGUAAAUGCUGUUCACCUACACAUAAGAUCCAUAGUCUUAGAUCAGCUCUAAAAGUAAUGUUUGUUUGUUUUUUGACAAAAAGACUGUCUCCGUGUUUGUGUGGGUAGAUACAGCCGUAGAGACAGAUGAGGCAUCACAAGUGGUUCCUGGGAAUUUAUCAAACCAUAUUUAUUCACGGUAGCAUCCCUAAAUUUCCCCAUCGUCAAUAUAAAUACCUCUGACAAAUCUAUCUUCACUUACCGCUGCCCUUAAAUAUUUGAGGCAAAAUGCCGGCAGGCUGUCUCCCUCCUUUCUGGCCCAUCUCCUUAUCUCUGAGAUGCGACAGCCACCGCUACCCCUAAAACAUGACAUAUUUCUAUCCUUUCUCCCUUCCUUCCCCCUUCCUUUGAUCCCUCCUUUUCUUUCUUCGGUGUCUGCGCUGUGCCAGGCAUGUUGAACUCCAACAGGCUCCAUCCCAACCACGCUAAAAACAAUGAACCCUUAAUAUAGGUACUGUUGGAAACAGCAAAAAGAACCGUGUAGAACGGAAAGACAUGAGAGCCGCUAAUAUUUUUUAUUGGAGAACAUUUCUCAGGAGAAUAUAUGAGUGCUGCUGCCACUCAUAUCACUCACUUGUACCCUCCCUUAUGCCCAGCAGUUGACAAGUCCUCUUACACGUGUAUCUCAUACGUUCCUCUAAAUUGUUGUUUCUCAAAGUGUGGUGCCUGACCAACAGCAGCAGCAGCUCCUGGAGAUUUCUGGAAAUGCAGGAGCCCAGGCUCCACCCCAAAACCUCCUGAAACAGACUACAUUUUAAUAAGAUCCUCUAGAGCUUGGUAGUUUGAGGACCUGUACUCUCAAUAGUCCUGCGAGGGAAUUGGAAAUUCUCUUGCCUAAUUGACCGAGAAGGAAGACGCAAAACUGGUGUGUGUUGAGGGGAGGGGCGGUGGCACUUCGGUGGCUCAGUUUGUUGAGCAUCCGACUCUUGAUUUCGGUUCGGGUUAUGAUCCCACAGUUUGUGAGUUUGAGCCCGCAUUGGGCUCUGCACUGUCAGUGCAGAGCCUCCUUGGGAUUCUCUCUCUUUCCCUCUUUGUCUCUCUGCCCUUCCCUCGGCAUGUGCACUCUUUCUCUGUCUCUCUCAAAAAUAAAUAAACGAAGAAAGAAAGAAAGAAAGAAAGAAAGAAAGAAAGAAAGAAAGAAAGAAAGAGGAAAGGGAAAAGAAAAGAAAAGAAAGAGAGAAAGAGAGAAAGAAAAGAAAAAAGAAAAGAAAGGAAAGAAAGAAAGAAACAAAACCGGGGUCCAAAGAUAUUCAUUUAACUAAUAGAUAACAAGACGGGAGUCAAAGACCAAUCUUCUUUCCACACAACUAUGUCCCCUCUUUGGACACUCUUAGAGGAAACUGUCGCAUGCCUCUUUUUGGAUCUGACAUCGCCCAGCCCAGUAUUUCAUAAGAAGCAUCUGUACAGUAAUUAUAGCCUGAUAUUGUCCCCUGGUGGUAAGUCGGCAAAUGUUAAUCUCCUACGUGAUUAUAUAUUCCUUGGUAGGCUGGUCUUGCUGUCUCUUGUCUGAAAGGUCUAAGGUUAAUUACAUGAAAGAAAUUUCAGAUUUGGAAAUUUCUCCGAUUUUUUCCAAUUCCUUAUCGGAGAAGAACAUGUUCACUGGUUCACAUAAUUUUUGAAGUUUCUAUUGCAGUUUUGUUUUCCUAAAGCAGGUUCUUAAGUGUUUCGUCGAAAAGGGAACAGCCACUAACUCAGAGGAAGCACUUCUUUGUGCACCAGACUCGUACUCUCUAUGUGUUGUCUCCUGAUUCUCGGAGAGACCUAAGAGAUUGGCUCUGUUACCCUGUUUUACUUUGUGGAGGCUGAGAGUCAAAGGAGACACAGUGGCAGUGCCGGGAACCAAGUCAGAUUCCAUCCUACCUUGCUGGCCUCUUCGUAGAAGUAAGUCUUGCCUGAAUUGGAAGGUGACCCAAGGCAGGGGAAGGGAUUAUCAUUCCCUUCUGUCUUUUGUCACCACUGACGAUAUGACAUUUACCACCCACCCACCGUAUUUUUUAAAGGAGAAAAGUGGCCACCGAACUCUUCCUGGUUUUAAGGGUGAAGUAACAGGACUGAAAUCAAAACAAAGAGGAACCAACUCAACUAGAGGGAUACAAGUUACAUAGGCAGAACCUCCCCGUAAUGGACCAGAAACUCAACCCAGCAGUCUCGCCGGGCAACAUACUUGGGAAAGCCCGUUUCUUCACCACACAAAUUGGCUAAAAUCCAGACGUAGGAUCGAAGCAAGGCUCUCUAAACUGGUUCGCCUUAAAUUCUUCGUGCUCAACAGAGAAGCAGAGAAUUUCUGACUCUAAGAAAAGAGAAUGAAUAGAUUUCUCACUGAGAAAGACAUCAUCUCCCAGGCUCUCUUGUAUCUGUGUUCUCAAAACUCCAGCCCUGUCAGCUCAGUCCCAGCUGAGACACUGGACCGAAAUAUCCUCUUGUGUUACUCUCCGGGAGUCUGCAGAUAGUUCGUGUACAAGCCGCUCCACUCGUCUUAAGGAUUUAAAUAGAGUUAUAACUACUCAGAUUUUAAUAUAUGCUACAACUGUUUUGGUGGCUUGGCAUUUAAGGAUGCAAACUUUCCAAUCUCUUCUAGAAGCGUGACACCAUAAAAGGGACUACCGUAAUUAGGAAUAAAACUGUGUAGUCCUCAUUAACCAGAAAAGCACUUUCUAAACCCAGGGAGGCUCUACUUCUAUUCCAAGAAAAGUCAAGAAAACGGUGUCUCUAGAACCCAAUAAAGAUUUUGGGUCAACUUGUCCUCUCUGGAAUUGACUGGGAUUGAUGUGAAAUGCCUUUAAAAGCAAAAGAACAACAAAUAUUUCUAGCAGAAGAGACCUAAGUGGAGAAAAGGCUGAAGGAUCAUGUUAAGCUCAAUCUUGUUUCAAGUUGUGCUAUUAUUUAAGUCUUGAUUGCCCAAAUUCAUUCAGCCUUAGUGCAUUGUGAUAGAGCCUGCCCUUAUUAGCCAAGGACGUUAUGGUAACUGGUUGUGGGUCUACUGUUCUCAUGGUUACAACAUGUGACCAGAAGAAUGCUUUCUGAAUUGAGGCCGGGAGUGAUAAGCCCCUGGUGACUCAAAAUAGCUAAGGAGUGUAUAUAAAACCAGGCACAAGCUAGUCUCAAAGAUAAUUGCAGGCUUUACUUUAGUUCUUUAAUCUCCACAUCCAUUUCUGUCCUGCCAAAACUGUCUACACAGGGGCCUCACCACGGCAUUAGUCACAGUAAGAACCAAAUGUUUUAUAAGCUGGUACCUUCUUAUACCUGUCCAAGGGGAUUUGGUCACUCAAAUCACAAAUGAACCAUGUUAGAAGGGGUUUGGCUGUGAGGCAGUCCCACACGUAGGAGGAAGACAAGAACAUUCUGGAGGAAUUUGAUUUAUUUAUGUUUUCUGCAUAGUACUUGGGAUGUGUCUGCUUCCUGGAAAAGCUACAUUGAUAGAUUGCAGGGAUCAGAAUAUCUCGCUCUAAUUCUCUCUUUUUGCCAAAAUUCUUAUCACCCAUGUUUUAAAACCUAAUUAAGCUAUGGUUCAUUUAUAACAAAAGGACACCAGACAGGAUCCGGGCUCUAAUCUCUGCUUUGUCACCAACCAGCUCUGGGGCUGUAGGCAAAUGAGCUUUCCACCGGAACUCUGUUGUUUUGUCUUGUAAUCAUAACACCUGAAUUUAUUAAACACUUUCUCUGAAGUAGGGGUUAAGCCAAGCACUUUGACCAGAGUGUCUCAUUUAAACCUCACAUACCUCCCCUAGGUGGGUUCUGUUACUACCUCCAUUUUGCAGACGAGGAAACUGAGGCACAGAAAGGCUGAACAGCUUGUCCAAAGUCACACAACUGGGAUGCAAAAGAGCCAGGAUUUUAACAAGUUUCCUGAGCCUGCACUCUAAACCCCUGGGCUGCACAUUUCUCUGAUUCCCCCGCUCGCCCAUCAUAGGAGGCCUUCUUGCUCCAGAAAUCCCUAACUACUUAGAGAUGAUUUGGUUUAACUCAUGUGGCUCAUCUAAGCUGUUGUGUGCUAUUUCAUUUCUUAAUUUUCUAAAUCUUUUUUUGUUUCUAAAAUCUUGUUUCCUCGACUGAGUAAAAUGUCUGAAUGAGUCCACGGAAAGACCUUCCUGAGGAUGGUUUAGGUUUUAUGCCCUUUAUAGAUCCCUUCCUUUACCAAUGGAAAUAAUAAUGCCUGGCUUAAAGGGAGGCUCCAAGCAAAAUGUCUGUAAGGUGAAAAACACUGUAUGAAUAGCAUUUGUUACUCAUAUUUUAAAAUACUCUUUCAGGGAAGCCUUUCUUUCUUUCUUUCUUUCUUUCUUUCUUUCUUUCUUUUUAAUGUUUAUUUAUUUUUGAGAGAGAGAGAGAGAGAGAGAGAGAGAGACAGAGUGCGAGACGGGGAGGAGCAGAGAGAGAGGGAGACACAGAAUCUGAAGCAGGCUCCAGGCUCUGAAACUGUCAGCACAGAUCCUGACACAAGGCUCGAACUCACGGACUGUGAGAUCAUGACCUGAGCUGAAGUCAGACGCUUAACCGACUGAGCCACCCAGGCGCCCCAGGGAAGCCUUUCUCAUAUGAUGUAUUCUUCAUAGCGUGGAGCACUGUGCCCUCAGAGUUGUGAGGUGCUGAAGAGGAUGUGUUGAUCAUUACUUUGAUUGCACUUUGCAAUUAAGAAAAGAAUUCUUAAAUGCAUUUUUAUUUACCUUCACACCAUAAAUUGAUGUAGCAGGAGGAACAGUUUAAUGGAGAUACUGAAGCAAAGGAAGAGAACUAACAUUGACUGAGGACCUGAAUUUGUCCUAGAUACUAUUUCACUAAAUUCCCACCAUCUGUCUGUAAGAAAGGUAAGCAAAAACCAAGCACAGAGAGGUUAGGUGGCUUCCAUGGAACACACAGCUUUGGCUAAGAGUUAGGAUUGAAACAGAGAUCAGGGUUUUGCCAUGCCACAGUGAAGAUGAAUUUUCUUUAAGAUUUUUGAGCCUGAAGCUCUAUGUACAUAUUGUUCAUGUAUCAUCAUAUUAAGAUGUCUAAAUUAUUAGUCAACAUUUUCAUGAAUACAAUGAUCAACCGUUAAAGCAUAAAACUAAGAAUCCUAAAAGCACACUUUGGAAAUGACCUUGAAGUCAGCAGGUGCAACAACCAGUCCAUGGCUUUUCCAGCUCCUACUUGAACACCUCCCGUGAUGUGUAACUCACCAUCCCCAGCCGGCAAACAAUUUCAUCUUUGAAUACUUAGACAGCAUUACCACUAGGCUCUCCCUCAGGCGCUUCAAACUUAAGAUACUUAAAACUUAGUUCAUAAAGUACUUUCGUAAUUUUGUUUACAGUUAAUGGGGGAGUUGGGCUUACCAGAGGAGAAUGAGUGCUACAAAAGGGAACAUUAUCCCAUCAAUAAUUAACCACAGAUUGCAUUCUAAACAACCACUCACUUUUUCAUUACCGAGGCCAAAGGAAAAAGCCAGUAAAAAUUGUUACCCUGUCUCCCUGGGAUUUUCCAAGAUCCUCUUGUCUGAGCUUCAGUGCUCUAUUUGCCUUAGAAGACAAUUGUAUCCAUCAGGGUUCCCAGCAAGAAGCUGAUGGUGCAUUCAAACAGAACUUGAGGCAGGUUAAUGAAGGGACAUUUACAAAAGUAUGGGCAGGGAUCAGGGAAAUCCACAGAGUAUGGUGAAGCGUCCCCAGACCGGUAGUAGUGGAGAACUUAGUACCUGUGGACCAGAGAGGGUGAGGGGAAGGAGCAGAUCCCAGAACCCAAGAAGGUCACCCUGGAAGUUGACCCCCACACACACAGAGAAGAACUGUGGCCUGAGGUGGACGUUUGCUGAAGAUUGGAAAUUCAGCAGAGAGACAGACACCCUGACCUCACUAUUUCUCACCGCCAGAGUUCUGCUGAUGGCUGAGUUCUGCUGAUGGCUCAGAGUUCGUGUUGGCAUCAGUUGGAAGACAGAAGACAGGGAGCUUACAGUUCAGCCGCCUUCAGGACACAAAGCAAGGCACCACAAUAUUCCCCGAACCUUGUUUUUCCUCCUUAUCCCCCUUUUGCUUUUAUCUACACCUAUUUCCCCCCACUUGCAUCUACUAAAUCAGCAAUGGGAAGGAGAGCUAGUUUGAAAGUAGCCUUGGGUCAUGGAUGGAAAUGAUAAUCCUAUAGCUCUAUUAGAUUUUGCCAUGAAAAGAGGUUAGCAUUUGUCUCUUAGAUUUCACGAAUUAAUUCUAAAAGCAAUUGUGUGACCCCAUUUCCACAUUUUUGUGUCAUAAUUAGAAGACCAAAUCUGCCAAGAAAUCUAUAGAAAUACACACGCACAAAUGCACACACACACACACACACAUUUGGAGGCUGUUUAGUGUUCACCCAUCAAAUAAACUUUUCUUUUUCUCUGAUUUCUUUCUGAGACUUUGUCUAAUUGUUCUUUGUGAAAGCCUUUAUUAAGCUUUAAAUACUGCCAGUGUAAGUUCUAAGCUCUGAAUUACUAGUCUAAUUGCUUUCUCCCUCUCCCCAAUACGUUCAAAGCCUUUCCUUUAGGGAAUUAUGUUUUAACUAAAGUUUCCUGAGAUUAAAGUUUUCUGGGUAAGGGGGUCUCAGAACCAGAUUGUCCGAUGGGGUCUGCUAACAUGCUUGAAGAUAGAGAGGGCUGACAAGAAUUCGUUUCAGACAAGCCAGCUCCAUUGGGGAGACCAUUGGUUGCAGAACCG